rnacentral:misc_RNA from 1 species
GUAGGUGAACCUGCGGAAGGAUCAUUACAAAUCUGAGUGGUGUGGCAGUAAUGUCAUACUAUUAUCCCUUUUGGGAAUUUUAGCUUAUUAUGUUUGACCGGUUUUGGCUAGUAAUAAUUUAUACAACUUUUAACAAUGGAUCUCUUGGCUCUU